AUUGAACGCUGGCGGAAUGCUUUACACAUGCAAGUCGAGCGGCAGCACGGGGGCAACCCUGGUGGCGAGCGGCGAACGGGUGAGUAACACAUCGGAACGUACCCUGUCGUGGGGGGAUAACGAGUCGAAAGAUUCGCUAAUACCGCAUACGACCCGAGGGUGAAAGCGGGGGAUCGCAAGACCUCGCGCGACUGGAGCGGCCGAUGGCGGAUUAGCUAGUUGGUGGGGUAAAGGCCCACCAAGGCGACGAUCCGUAGCGGGUCUGAGAGGACGGCCCGCCACACUGGGACUGAGACACGGCCCAGACUCCUACGGGAGGCAGCAGUGGGGAAUUUUGGACAAUGGGGGCAACCCUGAUCCAGCCAUUCCGCGUGAGUGAAGAAGGCCU
rnacentral:rRNA from 1 species